GGAAAGUUCUCCCACAGACACACACGAGGAGCCAGGGCGCUGUCUGCUCCACUACCAGCCUCUCCGAAGUGUAUGGCUGUGCAAUACAGCUGUGGUUGUGGACAGAAAGCUCACUGAAGCAAUAAGGAAAACAACCCAGAAGUGGACUGCUGUGUUGGGAAGAGGAGAGUGCCUUGCUUGAGGCUACAACAAAGGAAGGAUACUUGACGGGCAUUAAAAGUUUCUUGUGCUUGGUUAACAUUUAUGCCCACUCACUGAUCUAAGCAGGAACCCUUAAGCUCCACUAUAGUCCAUUUUCUCACAUUCCUUCUCACUUCAACAACACCAGAUCACAACAUGUUAAAAACUACAGCAAAAAGAGCCUCAAAAGCUCUAGGAUAAUCUUUUAUGGAAAGACAAUGUAAAGAUAAAGUUGUUUUCGUAUAAUAGAAAGGUAGGAGAGUAUAAAAAAUAAAUAAGACAAUUCAAAGCAUAAUUUCUUCAUCUUUGAAACAUGGCAGAAGUAGUGCUGAGGUUUAGUAUGCUUUAUAUCUGGUUUGGAUUUUUGCUGACAUAAUGAAAAACAGAGCCGGCAGAGCUGUAUGGUCACUACAGAAGUGUAGAGAAACAUCUCUUAUGCCUGCUUACCUCAAAUUGCCUUCAGACUCAUUAGGCAGUGGUUUAGGCUACUAUGCAGAAAAACAAAAGACACUGCUGAGGAAACCAAAGAGUUUAUAAGGGACAACAAAUGGACAUUUUGGAACGUAUGAGUCGCUCAAUAUAAAUAUCCAAUCAAGCUUGCCUUUAACUAGCUAAUGUCAGGAAACCUUGAACACAAACAAGAAAAAUGGGCAGUGCAAAAACUUGGAAAAACAUCCCAGAGAUGAUAGUGACAAGAUGGUGAUUUGACUAGUCCACAGUUUUAAUGAGGUGCCUGGAAUGAGCUCCUUCUCUGUUCAGUUGCGGUGGUGGAGACAAAGGAAAGGAAUUUUAGAAACGUAACGUAAAGAAAAAAACAUGAAAAAGUUUUAACACCCUUGGGUAAAUUAGAUG